rnacentral:tRNA from 1 species
GGCGGGGUAGCUCAGCGGCAGAGCAGCCGGCUCAUACCCGGUAAGCCGGGGGUUCAAAUCCCCCCCUCGCUA